rnacentral:rRNA from 1 species
UGCAAGUCGAGGGGCAGCAUAAAUUACUUGUAAUUUGAUGGCGACCGGCGAACGGGUGCGUAACGCGUAUGCAACUUACCUUUUACUAGAGAAUAGCCAAGAGAAAUUUUGAUUAAUGCUCUAUACACUUAUUAAUUCUCAUGAAUCUAUAAGAAAAGCUCCGGCGGUAAAAGAUGGGCAUGCGUCCUAUUAGCUUGUAGGUGAGGUAACGGCUCACCUAAGCUCCGAUAGGUAGGGGUCCUGAGAGGGAGAUCCCCCACACUGGUACUGAGACACGGACCAGACUUCUACGGAAGGCAGCAGUAAGGAAUAUUGGACAAUGGAGGCAACUCUGAUCCAGCCAUGCCGCGUGAAGGAAGACGGCCUUAUGGGUUGUAAACUUCUUUUAUACAGGAAGAAACCUUUCCACGUGGGAAAGCUGACGGUACUGUAAGAAUAAGGAUCGG